ACGAGGAAGAUGUGCUCGGUGGAGAGGCCAGU
rnacentral:scRNA from 1 species